AACAAGUGAAAUUUUAUGUAAUAAAUUCGUCAAAACUGUCUGUGUAGAUCAGCUUUUAAAUUAAAUUAAAAAAUAAUAAUAAUGAUAAGUCAUGAUGAUGUUUGAAACAUCAUCAUGAUUCAUGUUGUGAAGGGAGAAGAUAAUACACGGAAUGGUGGAAGGAAUAAGAAAAUAAAGAAGUGGGAAGGCCUGGGAAUGAUUGAGGAAUAAAGUGGAGUGGAAGGCAGCAAGGAUGAAAAAGAGACGGAAGGCAGAAAAUAAAGGGAAAAUAAAAGAAGCAGUGAAGGGAAGUGAGACGGAAAAGAAACCAAGGGGGAGAGAGGGCAGAAACAGAACGGGAGAGAGGGCGAGGCUGUGCGGGAAAAAUAAAAAGAAAAUAGCACAGAAGCAGCAGAGAAGCAGAGAGACUGACACGGCAGAGAAGCAGAGAGACUGACGACAGAGGGCAGGCACGGAGCAGGAGGGCAGAUCUUCUUUUCUUGGUUUUAUCUUCUCAAACCCAUGUUUUACUUUUGGUUUGUUUCUGUUUUAAUAAUGUGUAACUAAAUUUAUUUUGGCUAGAGGUUAAUUCAAAGCCAUGAAUAUAUUUGUAAUAUGAAUUGAUUACCUUCAGUUGUGAUUUCUGAGUUGUGAUUUAAUUUGCUUAACUGCUUGAUUGAUAGCUUAUUUUUGUAUGUCGAUUAAGAAUGCAUACUUAAUUUACAUGCAUGAAUUUGACGCUAGAAUAUAAGGGAGUUUCACCUAAUCGUUAUGAACUUAUAUUCACAAGUAGUGAAGGUUGCUAGUCACAAUCACGUUAAGUAAAUUCUUGGCAUAAGUUUCAUGCAAAUCAUAGUAACGAGUGCCUCGUCAAUGCUUAUGUUUUUCAUAGAACUUAAUGAUUCUUGCUUGUAUCUCUAUUAUGCAAUUCAUGUAGGGAACUUGUAGGGAAUGUUUUGGGUUGUUGUAUGCAAUCAUCCAACCCAAUAACUUGUGGAAAAACUGAGGGUUAAUUAGUGCAAUUCACUAUUAAUUUGGGGCAUUGAGAUUUACAAUUUAUUGAAAGAACAACUGAAAAUCAAUUUAGGUUGCAUAUGUGUCAUGUGUGGAG
rnacentral:lncRNA from 1 species